AUUGAACGCUGGCGGCAGGCCUAACACAUGCAAGUCGAACGAGUGGCGGACGGGUGAGUAAUGUCUGGGAAACUGCCUGAUGGAGGGGGCUAACUACUGGAAACGGUGGCUAAUACCGCAUACCAUCGGAUGUGCCCAGAUGGGAUUAGCUAGUAGGUGGGGUAAAGGCUCACCUAGGCGACGAUCGCUAGCUGGUCUGAGAGGAUGACCAGCCCAAAUGGACCGGAGGCACGGUCCAGACUCCCACGGGAGGCAUCAGUGGGGAAUAUUGCACAAUGGGCGCAAGCCUGGUGCAGCCAUGCCGCGUGUAUGAAGAAGGCCUUCGGGUUGUAAAGUACUGUCAGCAGGGAUGCGUUACCCGCAGAAGAAGCACCGGCUAACUCCGUGCCAUCAGCCGCGGUAAUUC
rnacentral:rRNA from 1 species